GACGAACGCUGGCGGCGUGCCUAAUACAUGCAAGUAGAACGCAGUUGCGAACGGGUGAGUAACGCGUAGGUAACUGCCUCAUAGCGGGGGAUAACUAUUGGAAACGAUAGCUAAUACCGCAUACUGUGAGAUGGACCUGCGUGGUAUUAGCUAGUUGGUGGGGUAAAGGCGCACCAAGGCGACGAUACAUUGCCGACCUGAGAGGGUGAUCGGCCAGCCUGGGACUGAGAACGGGCCCAGAGGCCUACGGGAGGGAGCAGUAGGGAAUCUGGGGCAAUGGACGGAAGUUUGACCGAGCAAGGCCGCGGGAGGGAAGAAGGUUUUCGGAUCGUAAAGCUCUGUUGUUAGGGUAGCGGUAACUAACCAGAAAGGGACGGCUAACUACGUGCCAGCAGCCGCGGUAAUUC
rnacentral:rRNA from 1 species